CCUACGGGAGGUGCAGUGGGGAAUAUUGCACAAUGGGCGCAAGCCUGAUGCCGCCAUGCCGCGUGUGUGAAGAAGGCCUUCGGGUUGUAAAGCACUUUCAGCGGGGAGGAAGGCGUUAAGGUUAAUAACCUUGGCGAUUGACGUUACCCGCAGAAGAAGCACCGGCUAACUCCGUGCCAGCAGCCGCGGUAAUACGGAGGGUGCAAGCGUUAAUCGGAAUUACUGGGCGUAAAGCGCACGCAGGCGGUCUGUCAAGUCGGAUGUGAAAUCCCCGGGCUCAACCUGGGAACUGCAUUCGAAACUGGCAGGCUAGAGUCUUGUAGAGGGGGGUAGAAUUCCAGGUGUAGCGGUGAAAUGCGUAGAGAUCUGGAGGAAUACCGGUGGCGAAGGCGGCCCCCUGGACAAAGACUGACGCUCAGGUGCGAAAGCGUGGGGAGCAAACAGGAUUAGAUACCCCAGUAGUC
rnacentral:rRNA from 1 species